ensembl:misc_RNA 7SK 7SK RNA
GUAGGUAAGAACGUCUUUGCUAUCUGUUACCCCAUUAGCUAGCAGGGUUCAUUUGGUUGAUCUGUCUAGGUAGGCAAGUGAACCCUUCCUCUGUCACUCAUUGUGCGUGUGUCCCUAAUAUAGCAGGACUGUUCUUCAGCCAAUGUUAUUUGAAUAGCCGCCCUUUCCUGCUAGAGCCUCAAACAAGUUCUUACACAGAGGUAAAUAGAGAAGCAAAUAUAAUAUGAAGAGACAAACAGAAAAAUAAGUAUAGACCUAUAACUAUGGCUUUCUUC